GCCUUAGUAGCGGCGAGUGAGCGGCAUAGCUCAAUUUGAAUCUGGCACCUUCGGUGUCCGAGUUGUAAUUUGAAGAAGGUAUCUUUGGUUUUGGCUCUUGUCUAUGUUCCUUGGAACAGGACGUCACAGAGGGUGAGAAUCCCGUGCGAUGAGAUGCCCAAUUCCAUGUAAAGUUCCUUCGACGAGUCGAGUUGUUUGGGAAUGCAGCUCUAAGUGGGUGGUAAAUUCCAUCUAAAGCUAAAUAUUGGCGAGAGACCGAUAGCGAACAAGUACUGUGAAGGAAAGAUGAAAAGAACUUUGAAAAGAGAGUGAAAAAGUACGUGAAAUUGUUGAAAGGGAAGGGCUUGAGGUCAGACUUGGUUUU
rnacentral:rRNA from 1 species